GACGAACGCUGGCGGCGUGCUUAACACAUGCAAGUCGAACGGAAAGGCCCUGCUUUUGUGGGGUGCUCGAGUGGCGAACGGGUGAGUAACACGUGAGUAACCUGCCCUUGACUUUGGGAUAACUUCAGGAAACUGGGGCUAAUACCGGAUAGGAGCUCCUGCUGCAUGGGGGGGGUUGGAAAGUUUCGGCGGUUGGGGAUGGACUCGCGGCUUAUCAGCUUGUUGGUGGGGUAGUGGCUUACCAAGGCUUUGACGGGUAGCCGGCCUGAGAGGGUGACCGGCCACAUUGGGGCUGAGAUACGGCCCAGACUCCUACGGGAGGCAGCAGUGGGGAAUAUUGCACAAUGGGCGGAAGCCUGAUGCAGCAACGCCGCGUGCGGGAUGACGGCCUUCGGGUUGUAAACCGCUUUCGCCUGUGACGAAGCGUGAGUGACGGUAAUGGGUAAAGAAGCACCGGCUAACUACGUG
rnacentral:rRNA from 1 species